rnacentral:lncRNA from 1 species
AAAAUUACAAAAAAAAUAAUUUUCUUUUUUCUUAUUUUUUAUUCUAAAACUCCUACGCCCCACCUAACUACUCACUCAAUUGAAUUAGUCGGGUUGUAUCUCACUUUGAAGCUGCAACACCGAAGACAACCGGAGGACCGUCGCCGGUAACGACCGGAACACCACCGGAAAUCUACUUGAACAUCGUUGAAACGAUCGGAGAAUCAUCGGAACAUUGCCUCUUCACUUCCUUGCUUCGCCUCCGAACAUUAGCUUGUCGGAAAAGACCUAUGUCUAUCUUUGCUAUUCCUAAACCACCUCCUUCUGCCUCUCCUCUUCCUAAACUGCCUCCUUGAACCGCCUCCUUGGAAUCAGCUAGAAAAUCACCUUAUAAGAAACUACCUUAGUGGAAACUACAUCUUUCUCGUCUCGUCUUUGAUCUCGUUUUCACCAGCCACUAGAUCUGGUUUAACCAGAUCCAGAAAUAAAGUAGAAAGCCACCAGAUCUGGUUUCCGAUCUAGUUUUACUGUUCACCGCGUCGCGACAUUAUCUUGAAGAGCCUCUGGAUGAAAUCAAAUCUUAACUCACAUACACAAACAUAUCCAAAAAAAGACGAUGAUAAGGAAAAAGGUAAACCAGAUUUUGAACUUAUUUUUCUUUAACUUAUAAGUAACCUGCAGUGAGAUCUAUUGAAUAAUCAAAUAGGUUUUCUUAAUUCUUUCAAAUAGAUUUAUGUUGACAAACGAUGCAAGUCUAGUUGGAGGUU